GAGACAAAAUUGACAUUUGUGAGACAAAAUUGAUUUUUGUGAGACAAAAUUGACAAAAUUGAAUUUUGUCUCACAAAAUUGAGUUUUGUCUCACAAAAGUC
rnacentral:sRNA from 1 species